rnacentral:lncRNA from 1 species
CAAGACAAUAUUGUUAUGCCUUCUAUUAGUACAAAUUUGAAGUGGUUAAUGAUAAACUAAUGCUUAGUUUGGCAUUGAGAUGGAUCUAAUUAGCGCUAUUAGAUAGAAUGGAGUUGAGAAAAAAUAUAUAGGAAUAUAUUUUUGCGUUCUCCGAUGGGACCACAGAAAAUAUAUCGUAACCGACUAACCGCAAUAUGCGGAACGCAAUAUUACGUACGGAAACGAACAUAAUAUUUUUUCAUCGUCGUUUCUCACUGCACGUAAUGCAAUCUCCCCGUAAUCCCAAACGAAGCCUAAAACUUCUUAAAUAAACACAUCAAUUC